rnacentral:rRNA from 1 species
AGAGUUUGAUCCUGGCUCAGGACGAACGCUGGCGGCGUGCCUAACACAUGCAAGUCGAACGGAGAAUUUCAAUAAGCUUGCUUAGAGAAAUUUUUAGUGGCGGGGCGGACGGGUGAGUAACGCGUGGGUAACCUACCCAUAAACCCGGGACAACCCUUGGAAACGAGGGCUAAUACCGGAUAAUCUUAAAGCUUGGCAUCAAGUCUUAAGAAAAGGUGGCCUCUGAAUAUGCUACCGAUUAUGGAUGGACCCGCGUCUGAUUAGCUAGUUGGUGGGGUAAAGGCCUACCAAGGCGACGAUCAGUAGCCGGCCUGAGAGGGUGAACGGCCACACUGGGACUGAGACACGGCCCAGACUCCUACGGGAGGCAGCAGUGGGGAAUCUUCCGCAAUGGACGAAAGUCUGACGGAGCAACGCCGCGUGUAUGAUGAAGGUCUUCGGAUUGUAAAGUACUGUCUUUGGGGAAGAAUGAUGUGCUUGAAAAUAUUGAGUGCAUAUGACGGUACCCAAGGAGGAAGCCCCGGCUAACUACGUGCCAGCAGCCGCGGUAAUACGUAGGGGGCAAGCGUUGUCCGGAAUUAUUGGGCGUAAAGGGCGCGUAGGCGGGUAUUUAAGUCUGGUGUGAAAGAUCAGGCUCAACCCUGAGAGUGCAUCGGAAACUGGGUAUCUUGAGGACAGGAGAGGAAAGUGGAAUUCCUAGUGUAGCGGUGAAAUGCGUAGAUAUUAGGAGGAACACCAGUGGCGAAGGCGACUUUCUGGACUGUAACUGACGCUGAGGCGCGAAAGCGUGGGGAGCAAACAGGAUUAGAUACCCUGGUAGUCCACGCCGUAAACGAUGAGUGCUAGGUGUCGGGGGUUAUCGACCCCCUCGGUGCCACAGCUAACGCAAUAAGCACUCCGCCUGGGGAGUACGGUCGCAAGACUGAAACUCAAAGGAAUUGACGGGGGCCCGCACAAGCGGUGGAGUAUGUGGUUUAAUUCGACGCAACGCGAAGAACCUUACCAAGGCUUGACAUCCCCAGCUAUAGAAAUAUGGUCUUAUAGGUUUAACAUCUAUACACGGAGACAGGUGGUGCAUGGUUGUCGUCAGCUCGUGUCGUGAGAUGUUGGGUUAAGUCCCGCAACGAGCGCAACCCCUACAGCCAGUUGCCAGCACAUAAAGGUGGGAACUCUAGCAGAACUGCCGUUGACAAAACGGAGGAAGGUGGGGAUGACGUCAAAUCAUCAUGCCCCUUAUGUUCUGGGCUACACACGUGCUACAAUGGCCAGUACAGACGGAAGCGAAGCCGCGAGGUGGAGCAAAUCCGAGAAAGCUGGUCUCAGUUCGGAUUGCAGGCUGCAACUCGCCUGCAUGAAGUCGGAAUCGCUAGUAAUCGCAGGUCAGCAUACUGCGGUGAAUACGUUCCCGGGCCUUGUACACACCGCCCGUCACACCACGAAAGUCUGCAACACCCGAAGCCGGUGAGGUAACCCGUAAGGGAGCUAGCCGUCGAAGGUGGGGCCGAUAAUUGGGGUGAAGUCGUAACAAGGUAACC